rnacentral:tRNA from 1 species
GGCUUUCGUUGGUCUAGGGGUAUGAUUCUCGCUUUGGGUGCGAGAGGUCGAGUUCAAAUCCGGACGAGCCC